ACCUUUAACUGCGAGGAACAUUUAAGAGCCAUUAAUCCCUUCCUUGCUACAGGAAGCAGCAGAGAUUCUCCCCAGGGUAAAAUGCUCUGCCACACCCGAGGACCAAAGGCUUCCAGCAGGGAGAGCUUCCCAGAGAGGGAAUAUCAACAGCGGCCUCUGGGAACAAAGGAAUGGCGCUGGACUCGGGAAGGGCUGGCUGAAAACAUCCCCCCACCGUGCCCUGGGGUGAGGGCUGAGCUGUGUCGGAGCUGAGCACUCACAGGCUGAACACAAACCUCGGGAAAGGUGUGAAGGGCACGUGAACAGCUCCAUAACCUCUGACCACGUCGUGUCCAAAGAAGUCAGGCCCGUAAACACUCAGCACAAUCUGUGGCCCUGCAAGGAAAGGGGGUGUGAGAGGGGGACUGGUCUGGGGGCUGGAAAUCCCCCCCCAGCACUCACAGCCAAAAGGGUUGGUGCUCUUGAAGGUGAUGUCGAUGGGGAAGUUCCACACGAGCGUGGUGGGCGAGACGUCGCUCUUGGAGGGACCACAACGUGACAGUGCUGGGCUGGUGACAUGGCGGUGUUGGCUUGGUGAUGUGACAAUGCUGGCCCUUUGGGACCGUGGUCGUGCCACUGCUCCUGCCAGGAAGCUUUGCUGCCCACACGCACGUCAGCGCCACGGAGACUCACCAGCCCGGCCACCAUCUGCUGCAGUUCAUCCCUUCUCCUCCUUUCUCCAUCCCACACCACGUUCCCCUCGCUGUGAGGAAUUUGUGGGGCAUUUGGUUGCUGCCAGACCCUCUGGGGAAGGACGGGAGGAAAGAAGGAAGCCCUGACUCGGCGCCUGUUUGGGUUUCCUGCUGUAGCCAGUCAGAGCCCUUUCACGGAUGGGCUAAGCAGAGAUUUAUGGCCUCAGUCCUUGUCCUCGUCCACUGUCUCCUUUUUCCCU